rnacentral:misc_RNA from 1 species
GUCCUCGUAACGCAAGUAAACAUCGUCAUCAGGACGGAAAACGACAACACUAGAGCCCAUGCUAGCCUUUCGGACAUGAAGCUGACGCUCAUUUUUGACGGCAUAGAGAUAGCAAAACUGAUGGCGGAAGCCUACGAGGUGAGGAAGAAUAGCUCGGUGGAUUUUAACUUUUUGGCUACUUCUGCGCCUAUACCUUUGAAUCCUCAGCAAAUGAAGGACGUAGAUGUGUUCUUGAAUGAAGAUGAAGUUAGAUUUGAUCUGAAAGGUAAUGUAAGGGCUAGAUGGAGAGUCGGGCUUCUUGGGUCUAUUAAGUUUCAGUGCCAUUUGAAUUGUCAG